CUUGAAUAAAAUAAGAGGUCCAGCCUGCCCAGUGAAAUUAUUCAACGGCCGCGGUAUCCUAACCGUGCGAAGGUAGCGUAAUCACUUGUUCUUUAAAUGAGGACUAGUAUGAAUGGCACCACGAGGGUUCUACUGUCUCCUUUUUUUAAUCAGUGAAACUAAUCUCCCCGUGAAGAAGCGGGAAUCUUUAUAUAAGACGAGAAGACCCUAUGGAGCUUUAAACAACCAACAUUUGCUACACCAUAACAUUUUCCCUAAAAGAAGUAUAGCAUUAUGAUUAUUAGUUUUCGAUUGGGGUGAUCACGGAGUAAAAUAUAACCUCCAUGCCGAAAGGGUUCUUACCCUGAGCAAAAAGCCACAACUUUAAGCACUAAAAAAUUAACGCAAUUUGACCCAAUAUUUUGAUCAACGAAC
rnacentral:rRNA from 1 species